ACACAUCCUAAGACAUUAUUUUUAUACUUUUCUGCACGCAUUUCACAACUUACUUCUCUGUUCUUUCUUACUGACAGUCUCCACAUAUACCCGUGUACAUCUCAAACCUCUAUCCAUCAGCUAUUUUCUGUUCCCUAUUUCUCAUGGUUUUCAAAACUACAUACUUUGCAAAAUCACAUUCUACAAAACAGCUCAGCAGGAUUACAAAUAGCUCUGGUACAUUUUGAAAUCAUCCUGUCUAAAACUUUGGUUCAUGUCUCUUUUAUUCUGGGAUCUGCUAUCAUCCAAAGGCCUUGUUCAAUCUGAUAGAUCAAUAGCCUAUUUUUUCUUCCCACAGGUGUAUGAGGACAGCUCGCCUGAAAAGCAAUCCUGGCAUGGAAAGAUAUAGUCCGAGGAGUAACUCUUUGGUGGCACAGGAUGCUUUCUUGUUGCCCCCGCCCCCCCUAAAACGGAACAUCCGCGUCUGAGACCACAAUCCUGCACUGAGAGAAAUGCUAGCUUGCGAAAGACUACCCUUGCCUUUGAAAGCAACAGCAUUUGUGAUGCUCCUUUCAUCUGAGAAGGAACCGCUGGAUUGGACAAAAACAGGUCCAGAAAUCCCAUUGAAACCUCGUGGCAUAAAACUCUUUCCCCUGAAAAGCAAGGGCGGGCGAAACAGAAGCUGGCCCUCACGGAGACUGAGAACUUGCCCUUUUGGGAUUCCCAGGCUUUCUAAGCUGCCAAUAUUGAGAUUAAAGCCUGUGUAAUAUAUUGGGUGUGAAACCUCAACUAGGCAUGAACUCGUCCCAUUUUCACUAAGGUCUUUAGCGGUGGCAUCGAGGACCAGCUGCCAGGAUGAACAAACACCAGUUGAGGGUCCCUGCUAAAUCUCCUCUCACCCUCUCUGUCUGUCUGUCUGUCUGUCUCUCUUUUGUCUCACUCUCUCCCCUCCCUUGAAGCCCGUGAGAAUGGACCCACACUCAUUCCACAACAAAUAGCAUUUUCUAUAUCUGGAAGCAUUAGGAGGCAAUGAUUCCCACGACAGGAUGUGAGGUCUGACUAACAGGUGCUUGGAUUUGGCCAAGGGAGACAGCAGGGCUCCGAGAUGGGAAAAGGCUUUGCUGCAAGCAGAAUAAGGCUACCCCUUUUGCUUUUUACAUGGCGUGGAAGUCGCAGACAAUCAAAAUGAUAUCUUUAUUGCUAGGUUCAUGUCCUGGGCUAUAACAUAUCAAUCCCUGUCGAGUUUCUCUUGGAAGCACCUGGUAUUUCAAACUUGUUCUUUUUGUGUUUCUGGGUGCUGGACUGCAGCUGCUUAAAACAAGCAGAGAUUGAGAGAGUCCCUUACACUGUGUCUAAGACAUGUUGGCAUGGUUUGCUUGUCUUUAAUGUACCAUUAAGCAUUGUCUUGACACAAUAUGGGAACUGUAAAGCAUAGCAUGCGUUAUAAUAAAACACAUUUUCAAUUAUACACUUGCAGUAGGAGUUGAGAUGCAAGCAAACAGACCCAACUCUUGUGUUUUUGUUUGUUUGUUUUGGGCUUUGUUUUUGUCUCUGCCUUCAACUGGCAAUUAAACUUAAGACCAUUAUUUUCCCCCUCUCCUAUCAGCCAAUUAAAUUUUGUGUCUUCUAAUUUUUCACACACAAAAAAGUCUCCAUGCUGGUUUCUAAAGACAUUGAUUUUCUUGCUAUCACCUGGCGUUCAGACUUUAGUUCCAUUUAUCAAGAGGAACAUCAAGGUUGCAUAAACUGACUCUGUUACCAUAAGGCUCUCACCAUCCUGGCCCAUUGUUUUCCCUUUUAAAUAACUCAUUAGCAGGAUUUAACAAAUCCACCAUUACAUAUGUUUUGUGUCUCCAUAUUUUGAUCCGGAAGAUUAAGCAGAUGUUAUGAUUGAAAAUUGAAAAGUCCAAGGCUACUCUCGGCUGAAAGAACGAGGGCAGCCUCAAAGAACAAGCCAACAAUGAGAUUCAGAUCUUCAGAAAAACAUUUACGACCAAUAAACAGACUCCAACUUG